UACGAAGGGGGCUAGCGUUGCUCGGAAUCACUGGGCGGUAAAGGGUGCGUAGGCGGGUCUUUUAAGUCAGGGGUGAAAUCCUGGAGGCUCAACUCCAGAACUGCCUUUGAUACUGGAGAGCUUGAGUCCGGGAGAGGUGAGUGGAACUCCGAGUGUAGAGGUGAAAUUCGUAGAUAUUCGGAAGAACACCAGUGGCGAAGGCGGCUCACUGGUCCGGUACUGACGCUGAGGAGCGAAAGCGUGGGGAGCAAACAGGG
rnacentral:rRNA from 1 species